rnacentral:tRNA from 1 species
GGGAACGAACUCCGAAUAGAGAACCAGAUUCCUAAUCCGGGGGUCGCGCGUUCGAAUCGCGCCGGGAUCGCCA